UGCAUUUGCACAGACGUGUCCCGACAGCGUCUCCUCAGCAGGUAUUUUUCAAACGCAGUCGACCUCAGUUUAAUUAAUCUGCAGGAAUUUGCAAAAACAUCAUAAAGAGCUUUACUGCGGUAUAAAUAACCUCCUGAAUGUAAAUACGUGUGAAGUCGCUGCUGAUUGGCUGAACAGACGGCGGAGAACCUGCAGGAUGACUUUCCUCGGCUGUAAAUCUGUCGACGCCUCAGAAACCUUCGACACGAUUCACCUGAAGUUAAAUUCCAGCAGACGUUGUUAAAAUCGUCCUGAGCUGCUGCUUUCUUACACUGAGGUGGGAGUUCUGGAUGUCCAGCGCUGAGCACAUGUCGCUGAAGUAUCCCAGGUUCUUCUCGUCCAGCAGGAUGUAAACAGGAACCCGCCGCUUGUUGGACGCCUCCAUCAGGUCGCAGAGCAGGUCCACGUCGGUGAAGAUGUCCAUCACCACGGCGAUGACCUGCAGCAGAGACCAGGAAGGAGUCAGAACCAAACACUGAAACACAGUUCUUCUGUCUUCAACCACGACCAGCCUGGGAUGGAAAUCCACUCAUUACUGGGGCUGUUAAAAAUGGAUUUAAUAGCUGACAACUAAUCAGUUAAUCAGCUUUACUCCAUGAUAACCUGAUAGAUUUAUCUAUUUAUUCUUUAUUUAUGUGUUUAUUUACAGGCUGUUUGUGUUGUUUGCUUAUUUUAUUUUGCUUUAAAUGAGUAAAAGAGUUUUCUUUUUUACUA